ACUCCAUGCUGCUGAAAAGGCAGCUAGACAACAUCCAGGCCACCUACAACAAAGACUACAACUAUGCUGUGGGAUAUGACAGCCCAAUGAAGAUUCUGAAUAUGUACAACGAGGUGUGGUACAUGGUUGAGGGAGAGCCUGUGUGCCCUACCUCCUCCUAAACAUCCUCCUCCAUUACUGCUGAGUCUGGC